GGCCCGGUGGCCUAGUGGUUAGAGUGUCCGCCUUGGAUGCGGGAGGUCGCGGGUUGGAACCCCGCCCGAGUCA